AGGACUUAAAGGAGGCGCUGGCCCUCAGGGGCAUGCGAGGGCAGGCCUUCCUCUUUAUAUAGGCUUAGAGAGCCACUACUCGAAGCCAAGCCUUACGUCAGGCAGCAGAGAUACCAAGAUGAGGUUGAAGAAAACACACGGCUUUCUCCACUCAUGGACUCCAAUGAGGAUGGCAACAACAUGGGCUGAGACUUGACCUUGUGACUCCAGCCUAGGAUUAUAUAAGGAUGUGACUGACCUUAGAGGAUUUCACGGGAACUUAGCUGUACACGUGGAACCCAUUUAUUUGCUGACACUUCUCAUUUCCUUUCAGAACAAACCUACAUUCCCAGACCUAUAAUUUUCUUGAGAAAAUGGGUUUAUUAUAAGUCACUCAAUAAAACACCCUACCAUGGCUUCCCAGUACAAACCCUAGUUUCAAUUAGUCUUAUUUUCUUCCUGAACUGAUGAUUCCCAAAUCUAUCUAUCUGUUCAUUAGGAUCACUGGAGAACUAUUAAAAUGUCCAAAGUCCAGUCCACACCCCAGACCAAUUAAAUCAGUCACUGAGGCUAAGAUCAAUAUUUUUUUAAGCUCCCCAGUCAGAAUUGGAAUUUCAACUGCUGGUCAGUUUCUCCUAUGAACAUGGGUUGAUAUGGGCACGAUUGUGGGGCUAGCGUUGCCAUCUCUCCCUAUUAAACUUCUCCUACUAGAGCUACAAUACUUUUCGGCCCUUGGAUGGCUGUGCUUUUCGAAUUCUUGUACUUCCACUGUUCUACCUCUUUUAUUCAAGGCAGCCUUUCCUGCAUGCAUUUAUUCUUUCAUUCACUUACAAGAAUAUACUGAAUAUGGAUUCUAGGAACUAGGAAAUGAGUUGUUGACCUUGGGCUAGGGUGAGAACAUUUGAGUGGUUCUUCGUGGUGACCUGCCUCCCCUGCCCCCAUAAAAGCCUCUCUCCUUCCUGCCUUCCAGUCCACUGAUGCAUGGGCCCAGGCAGCACCAACCAUUUCCUUGCUUGUAGUCAGUUCCCCAUCUACCAAGUAAUGCCUGCCUUCCCCUCCUGUUGGAGGGUGUAUUAGUCUGUUUUCAUGCUGCUGAUGAAGACAUACCCCAGACUGGGUAAUUUAUAAGAAAAAGAGGUUUAAUGAACUCACAGUUCCACAUGACUAGGGAGGCCUCACAAUCAUGGCAGAAGGUGAGGAGGAGCAAAGUCAUGCCUUACAUGGUGGCAGGCAAGAGAGAAAGACAAGCGAAAGGGGAAAUCCCUUAUAAAACCAUCAGAUCUUGUCAGACUUAUUCACUACUAUGAGAGCAGUAUGGGGGAAACUGCCCUCAUGAUUCAAUUAUCUCCCACAAGGUCCCUCCCACAGCAUAUGGGAAUUAUGGGAGCUACAAUUCAAGAUGAGAUUUGGGUGGGACACAGCCAAACCAUAUCAGAGGGUCCAAAUUCAACUCUUCUAGAGUUAACUACCCAAAUUCCCAAAACCUCUUGACUGUUUGUUUCACAGAGGUUUUUUUUUUUUUGAGGUCAUAGUAAAAAAUAAUUUUAGAAACAUGCCCUGACAAAUGUGGGUUCCUGAAAUUGAGGCGGUGAAUCCUUCACCCCUCCCUAGUAGCCCUGAAUGAGUCCUCUCUUCUGAACUAGACUCCAAGCCUCCCUAACGGCAGCAGUGAUUUCCAGUCCUCAAAUGACACAGUCAAAACUCUCACUAGAAUGCUUGUUGAGUGACACUUAGCAGAUCAUGUGUUGACUGGAGAAAAGGAGGGAGGAAGAAAGGAGAAGAGAACAGGAGGGAGAGGAAAAGGGAGGAGAUACAGAGUAAGCCAGAGAGGAGAGAGACAGAGACACAGAAUGGAACCGAUUUUGAGAUCCUACCUGUCCUGCCCAUCGCCUUGUGGAGGACAGAGGAAUGGGGCAUCUAAGCUCACUCACACUGCCAAUUUGAACUGUUCUGCCCUAGCCUCCCUCCCUACCCACUUGAGAGCAUUGGAAAGCUGCCCCAUGAAGGCUUUACAAAGCAUCACCAUAGUAACUGUUUUCUCCACUAAAAGACGCCUAUGCAAUGAAGCUCUGCACUCUUGUCUGCCCCUCUCAGUAACUGGGAGAGGCUUCCACUCUCUCCAGCAAAGGCCUUACCGGCCACUGAGUGACUCUAUCUCAUAUUCUCAUGACUGUCAUUACCAGCGUUAGUAUUUUCUUUAUUCUUUUGCACUUCCCUGGCUCUGCUGGUCUAAAAUGGGCUUUCCAUGACUUUAAUUGGCUCUCAUCAGCACUGAGGUCAGUGAGGCAGCCACAGAGUUCAUUUGACUAAGGCACAAGCAGAGGCGGAAGUCUGAACAACUUGCUCAAGGUCUCCAGCUCCAGAGUCCUGCAGAUGAGGGCUCACAAUCCCUAAGUUUACUAUCCUUUCCUCAGCCCCAGUUUGUCCUUCCGCAAGGGGGAAAUCGCCUCUACAGUUAUCACACUAGGAGAAAUUAUACUUCCCUGAAUUGUAAGCUUGGGCAUCUGUGUGUCAAAGCAGAGAAGAAGUCAGGGAGGUAGCUUGUGUCUUUGAGGGGUGUGAGGGGCUGGGCUUGGUGAGCAGAUGGACAGAGCUGAGCUGCCGGGUUCCACGUCAACAAUGGCAAGUCCAUGGGGAAUUUCUGUAGAAUUAGAUAUAUUGCUGGACGCGAAUAAUUAAGGAUUCUGAUGUGGUCAGGUAGAUUAAUGUCCCUCUGAAAGCUCUGGAUCAAUGUUGGAAGGGAAAAAAAUAAAAGACAUGCAUAAUUUAAAAAAACCAUCAGAAACUUUGCUUGACAUGAUGACAUUACUGAUUUUUUUAUGAUCUUCUCAAAUACACUCUAUAACCGUUAUUAAUUUAGUAUCGUUAAAAGCUCAUCCUUCAAAUGUCAGGCAAGAGCCAAAGCUGAAAAAUAGAACCGCUUAGGGCUGGAAAAAAUCCAGGAAAGAGAGGCGGAAAGCUCUAGGAACACGAGGCCCUGGGCUGCCUCCAGCUUCCCGAGAAACUCCCAGCCAAGCUCUCUGUUGCUGUGACUUCUCCCUCUUGGGCUACUUUGUUUGUGGUUCACAAAGACGGCCAACUCUGGCCCAUUUGCUAGGCAUCUGCCGUCUUGGCUUGCCUGGCCUUAUGUACAGAGUAAUGCCAGGGAUCCAGUGUGGGAGAAUGUUGAGGUGCUCCAAUAAGUCUCUCCUCCAAAAUAAAGACCUCCUGAUGGUGCCUGAUACCCAACUGCUCAUGAUCAGGUGUGGCAUCCUGUUGAGUUAAGCAUCACCUUCUCACAGACAGGUCUCUCUGAAAAUGCAGGUGCUUCUGCAGAGGAGAGUAUACUAAUAAGAUAUAGUAAUAGUAUUCGUAAGGAAUGUUUACAGGAUGCUUACUAUGUGCCAGGCACUAUUCUAAGUACUUUACAUGCAUUAUCGCAUUUAAUCCUCAUAGCAACCAAGAAUAUUAUCACUUCCAAUGUUAUGUCUAGAAAAAUAGAUUCAAAGACACUAAGUAACUUAGCUGGGGUCACACAGCUAAUAAGUGUCAGAGCUAGAACUCAAACUGGGUCUGACACCAGCAGCUGCAUCUUUAGCCACUAUGUACAUCUGUCAUCCUGGUCGAUUGCUGAUGUAUUAAUCAAGCGACACUAGAUUUAUCCACAAAGAAGAAAGCACUUUCCUCUUCCAGAAAGAAGGGGAGCUAAAAGUGGUGAAGUUGUGGGUGGGUAAAGGAGUUGUUACUGGAAAGAGGUGCAAGAAACAUUUUCCCCAGCAACAGUGUCAUCUCCUCUAAACGACUCUGGAGGGGAGGGGCUCAUGCAUCACCCCACUGGGCCCCAUGGUAGGACUGAGCCUACCCCACACUCUGCAUGCCCCCUGAAGCAGCUCAGAAGACCCAGCCUCCUGGAUGAUUCUUAGAAAGAAAGGUUGGAAGCAUAUGUUCUCCAAAGACUAGAGGAGACUGAAAAGUCCCCCAAAAGUCCAAACAUUUCAACCUAGAGUGGACGUGACCCUAGAGAGCCAAAGUGGGGCAUGCCAGGAACAGAUUUCUUAAGGGACAGCAGCUUGGGAAACAGAGCUAGCUUGAAAUCAGAAGCCUUAGAUUGAGGAGUUGAUGUUGGACAAGCUUGCUCGCUCUCGCUCUCUCGCUGUCUCGCUCUCACCCAUUCUCCCCUCAGUUUUUUGCAUCAUAAAGUGAGAGUAUGGCCCUGAAAGCUUCUACCAAGCCUGUGUUCCUGUAACAUGGAUUUUUCCUUAAAAGGACAAAGCAUGACCAUAUCCCCUCGGAGCCUGGAUGCCCGGGAGCCAGGGUGCAGAGAUGUCUGAGAGAGAGCAGAGUAGGAAGGUAGUGUCCUCACCAUCGGGCCCUCAGCAUGACUUGCCUUGCACAGUGGGAUACCCAGCAGAGUCUCCAAGGACCUCAGAGUGCUGUGUUCUUAUUUCUUUAAGGACUGUCUUUUCUUAGACAGUCCUUAAAAGAAGGGAAGGGAUGGCUUAUCCUACAUUGAGCCUAAAUACAGAUUUAAUUUAUCUGCUCAGUUCAAUUGCUCAGGAAAAGCAAAUCCAGAGUUGUUUGACUGCUCUAAUGAGUCUUCAAUAUAAAUGAACAAGCAGGAUUGCCCAUGUAGACACACGCUAAGCCAGCAGAGCACAGUUUGCUCAGCUGCCUGCAAAGGUGGCUGGAUGUCUCCACACAUCACAGUGUACCUGUGCACGUACACAAACACAGGCACAGUUUCUUACUAUUAAAUUAGCCAAGUUGGAUCUCAGCAGUGGGAAAUCUGCAUCUUAAUAUUAAGUCAGUAAUUAAUAGCCUAGACACUUGGUUCACUUUCCUUUUAUUGGCUUUACAUAGAUACAGAAUGGACAGAGGUGGCCUUUCUUCCAACCAGCAAGCUGUCUCUCCCUCACCACCCCUCCUGCCCACCUCCUGAGAAUGAAUAUGUUCCUAUCUCAUUUGCAUCCUAUUAUUAGUGCAUUGAAGCUAUAGUCACGUACAACCUCUUUAUAUUCACUUGAAAAUUAAAUUACAAAAGUUUUUCUACAUUGCAAUUUAUGUUCUGGUUGGAGCUGAUUGUUUUUUGUAUUCCGGCAAAUAUCACAGUCUCCAGGAAUUAAUGAAUUCAUAAGCAUUGAUUCCUAGGGGGAAUAGUAUGCAUAGUAUAUUGGAAAAUAGAGAAGCUCAGCCUAAUGUCAAAAUGUUUUACUUUCUACCACCCAAUCCUUACAUACACAUGGGAAAUUCUUGUGGAUGCCAGGCAGCUUAUGUCUGCAGGCACCUGUCAAUACUGCCUGCUGUACUGAGGGGUGCCUGCAAAAAGCUAUGCCUUCUGAAUAUAUCAAGCAAUGGAUGCUAUAGAAUCUAGGUAAUUUUAUGCAAUCUGUUCUUUUAGGACAAAUCAGUAAUCAGCUUCAACCCCUACCUUGGCCACUCCCCAGUUCCUAAAAGCCAAAGCCACUGCCUCCCUCCACGAUAGAAGUCACACACUUGUAGCUGACUGACAUAUUUUGUGUGUAUUUUAUGACUUUUUUUUCUUAAAAGCCAACAUUUAAAUAUUUGGAGAUUUCAGCUAAAAAUCCGGAUUUUGACUUUCUUAAAAACAUCUGAAGGUCUGACAGUAUUGAGCCGAUGUUCAACAUAAUGGCAGUCUAGAGGUGUGGAGUAACAGCAGUCAGCUUCCUUUAAACAGUAUACGUCAGGGGACAUACUCUACAAUUUGAUCCUCACUACUUGUGGAAAGAGGCCAACAGGAUUUGCCAUUUUUUCAAAGAACAUGUACGCUUUCGUCUCCACAAUCUCUAUUAGAAGUGGGAAAACAAAAAUAGACCUAGAAAGCAAAGAUCUCAAUCCAGGGGCAAGAAUAUGUUUUUUUGAAGGAAGUGAAACAAUGUUGCUGCUUAAUUUCCAAAUAGAGUACUCAAGAAAUUUUUUCCUGAACCUAGCUUGCUUUACUGUAAGGACGUCCUAGCUAUUGUUUUAUUACUUGCCUUGCCCCUGGAGACAUUUGAAUUUUAGGACCCUUGACCUUGGUGGUUUUUAGGGAAACGCUUUAUCAGGCAGGCCCUUUCAACCUGGCGUGCCUCCCCACCUGGGGGUCUCAGUGUCAGCCACCCUUCCAGACCUGGGAGCCUGUGCCCCACUCCUUUGAUGCUCUCCGGCUGCCUUGGCACUUCCACUUCCCUAAGUCCAGAAGCACCAGUGCUUGAUGUCAGGUUGAGAUCUGGGCCUCAGACAGAUCAGGCUGAGAUCUGUCUGUAACAACUUGUCUGCCUCACGUGAGUCCCUCGGUGUGAAAUAAUAAGAAAUAUAUAUAUAUAUAUAUAUAUAUAUAUGUCGCUGUCCAGUUCUUGACAUAGAGCUCCUAAAACUCUUAUGGGUAGGGAAACUUGGAGAUCUUUUAUUCUAAUAUUUGGCCUUUGGCCCCACAUCCUGACACAGAGCUCCUAAGACCUUUGUAAUUUCCUGAGAGACAGGAUCUUGUAACACAGAGCCCCUGCAUCCCUUGGAAUUUCCUGGGUGAUAGGAACAUCUUUUGUUUUAAUGAGGUGACUCCUGGUGGGCUCCUGGAUAGCUUCGGGAACCAGCCAUGUGAUUAGAGGGUUGGAACUAUUGGUCCCACCCCUCCAACCUCUGGGGAGGGAAGAAGGGCUGAAGGUUGAAUUGCUCACCAAUGGCCAAUGAUUUAAGCAAUCAUACUUACAUAAUAAAGCCUCCAUCAAAACCUAAAAGAACAAAGUUCAGAAGGCUUCUGGAUUGCUGAAUGCAUGGAAGUUCCUAGAGGGUGGCACACUUUGGAUAGCUCCAAGGUGUGCAAGGAACUAUACAUGUAUCCAUGGAAGCUCCACGCCCCUUCUCCCCUACCUUGCCCUGUGCAUCUCUUCCAUCUGACUGUUCAUCUGUAUCCUUUGUGAUAUCCUUUAUAAUAAAUGAGUACACAGAAUAAGGUGUUUCUUUACAUUCUGUGAGCCAUCCUAGUAAAUUAAUUGAACCUAAAGAGGAGAACCCUGAUUUAUAGCUGGUCAACCUGAGACUCACAACAGACAUGUGAAGUGGAGGCAGUCUUGUGGAACUGAGCCCUUAACUUGUGGGAAUGGAUGCUGACUGCUGGUAGAUAAUGUUAGAACUGGGCUAACUUUUAGGAGUUGAGGUCCAUUGGAGAACUGCUUGGUAAACCCUGACACAUCUGGUGUCAGACAUGAAGUAUCGUUUCGAGUGUUGAGUGCAAAAGUAGGAAAAACAGUUUAGUUAUUCCUAUCUCUUUCAUUUGGCGACACCCUUGGAUUGGUACUCAUCACUUCCUCUUGGAUUCAAAACCCUGCAUUCUUGUCUUCUGGGUCCUUACAGAGCUAAUAUUGCACAUCUAACCUCUUAGCCUGACCUAGGUUCACUCUGCCUCCAUUCCUUUACCUGUUGGGCAUUGCCAAAAAAUUAUGUAAGGCAGAAAUUCAGUGAGUGAAAGAAGGGCAGUCUCCUGGAGACUGAAGGAAGCAUCAAGAUCAAACCAGAGAGGCAAAGUUACUGGUAUGGAGACUCUCACAGGUAACCAGCAGAGCUCAAACUUCCUGCCUCUCUUUAUGGUGUUGUCUCCAUUAUCUGGCAUCCAUCUGUGCUCAUGCAGACAAUAUUUGUGCAUAACCAUUUUUAACCAUCUGCUGCCCUUGAACCUCACAUCACAGGGCCCACCUUGUAGGAAAGGCUCUUUAGCUAGCAAUGAUGGUGUCCAGGACAAUUCUAGGUUUUACCAUACUUGGAGCCAUUGAGAGGGACUUGCAGGACUGACCCAUCUCAUCUUUCUUUGCAUCUUUCAAGAAAUCGAUGGGUAAUCUAAAAGGUGUAUGUUUACAGACCUGCAGUUUUAGUAUCAGAGUUUCCUCUAUGUAGUGGAGAUUAUGGAUCUGAGACCUGAAAAGAAGUGAUCCACUAAAAGGAUAAGUUGUCUCAGCUCCUGGUGCUGACUCAGAGAGGAGCCUCUGGGCUGACUUAACCUCUUUGCUGUGCACUCUCAUUCUGUCUGCACCCAAACAUCAUGACAGACAUCAGCAGUACUUCCCAUGAUUCCUGAAGAGGAGGCUGUGUGCAACAAAGUCAUCCUAGGAUAUUUUGAGAAAUAAACCUGUCAAAGUAUAAUUGCUCAAUCAUCUUAGCCCCGUGCACCGUGGAAAAGAAUAUGUGCCAGAAGUGGGAGUCUCUUUUUCAUCCUGUCUAGCACCAUCUUGUCAGAAGCAGCAAUUCCAGAGACAAAACCUGGGGAGAUUUCAGCACUGCUGGGUGUGCCUUCUGCACAGCAGAAGUGGGCUUCCAGCUGGAGCCCAGAUGAAGGUUAACUAUAGGACAAUUUACGAGUAAGUGGGAGUGGUAUUAGCAAUUACAUUCUGGCUGAGAGUGACUAACUGCUUCCACCUGGGAAAGCAGAUCCAGCCCCAUAGAAAGGUGAAGGUCAUCCCUGCUCCAGGGUUAGAUCUACAGGAAUGGCUGCUCCAGAAUGCCACACACAGUUCUUGCUGCAAGGUCUUUCGCAAAGAACACUAAUUGCCUACAUCUCUUGUCUGGGAUGCAUUUCUCUUUCUCCCUAUUAUCCUAGUUUUGUUUUGUUUGCUUUUCCUGAUUUCUAACAUCUGACCUUGUCUGUGCUACCUUCUGCAUCUCUCUUUGUCUUAUUGAGUCUCCUGGCAUACGUCCUCCCUCCUACCUAUCAUGGACAUAUGAACUAGUAGUGGCCAAUGAGGUAGAAGUGAGUAUCUCCGGGCUGUACUUCCCGGAAGUCUGUUGUAUAUGUACCUAUCAAUAUAUUUGUAUAUACAAAUAGGUGUACAACAGCUGACUCAGCUGACACAUAGCUUUUGUCUUAUUCUUACCCCUUCUUCCUGACCAGAAUGGAAAAGAGAUUCCCAUGGAUGCAGCAUUCAUAUUCUGGCCUCCAAAGAGAGUCACAUGAUAAGGAGGCCAGGACAGAAUAAUAAAAGGAGCCAGUCCCCUGCAGGUAUCAUGGACUGUUCAACCAGUUCUGGACUUUCACCUGAGAUUUAUUGUCAGGUGAAAAAAAUAGCCUCUAUUUUGUUAAGCUACUGCUGUUUUCUUUCUGUUAUUUGCAGCUAAACUCAGUCCUAACAGAUACAUAAAUCCUGUUCAUUUUUCCAAAGGGUCUUCAGAAAUACUGCCUUGGGUGUCUAACUAUUACUGACUGAAUUGUGCCCCUUUAGAAUUCAUAUGUUGAAGUCCUAACCCCUCAUAAGGGAAUGUGACCAUGUUUGGAGAUAGGGUCUUUAAAAAGGAAAUUACAUUGAAAUGAGCUCAUGAGGGUGGUUCCUAAUCCAGUGUGAUUGGUGUCCUUAUAAAAUGAGGAAAUUGGGACACAGACACAACCACAGAGGGAAAAUGAUAUAAAGAGACACAGGGAGAAGAUAGUCAUCUGUAAGCCAAGGAAAGAGGCCUGGAACAGAUCCUGACCUUACGGCCCUCAGAAGAAACCAACGCUGCCAACACCUUGAUCUCUGACUUCCAGCCUCCAGAAUCACAAGGAAGGUAAACUUCUGUUGUUUAAGCCACACCCUCCAUUGUACCUUAUGGCAGCCCUGGCAAACUAACAUAAAGACCUAUAUUUCCUGACCAUGGGAUCCUCUAUGGUCAGGAAGGGGCUUAGCAGUUGGGCCACCUGUAUUAGAAAUGCCUGAGAUUCCUGUUAAAAAAUAGGGUAGAGUUCAGGAAUCUUUAUUUUAACAAGUUUCUGUGGUGAUACUUAAGUGCUCUAUGGUUUGAGAAUCACUAGUUUAGUUCUUUAAGGUCUUACAGAACACAAAUGAGAUAGAGGAGAAGUUGACACUCCACUGACAGGCUGGGGAGUAAGAAGUAUUUGAGGGACAGACUAAGACUGACCUGAGGCCAGGAGAGAGACACACUGCAGAGGAACAGUAUGAGCCAAGACUCCCAGGUGGGAAAGAAAUAGGUGUGUUUGGUGGCAAUGAUAAUAAUAAUGAUAGUAAUCUAAACUAGCAUCUUUAUGAUGUCUUAUAACUUACACAGCAAUUUUAAUUAUAUUAUCUAAUUUAAAUCUUCACCUGUAAGGUGAGAAUCAUAGGUAAGGAUUACAGGUGGAGAUUACCACUGAAGUUACAGGUCACCUCAACCCUGUGAGGAAGUUAAUAUUUUAUUAUUUCCAUUCUGCAGGGGAAGACACCAAGUGUAAAUACUAGAAAUAGUAUACGCUAGUUGUGAAAGUCUCCGUGGUUUUUUGGGGACAACCAGGAAGCCCCAAAGUGAGCACAACUCCCCUUCAUGCUGCAAGUGGCCAGGAGCCGUGAUCGCCUAAAGCACUGCAGCUCCACCUGCCUUGACAAUGGAGUGGGGAACAGAAUAAAAUGAUCCUAUAAAAUGAUCUCUUGAGAGAGUGAUUGGCUAGAGAGAAGAUAGGAAACAUAGGAAGAGGGUAGCUUCCUCUCUUCCACUUGUAUAUUUUGGACCUACUUUCGAAGGGUCUAUAGUGAAGAAAGCCCAUCAAGCAGGUGGUGCUGAUGAAAAGAGACAGGAAGUAGGCUCCAGGACUUAUCACUCUUUCUACCCUAUUAAGGAGGUACCCUCUUUUCUUACCACCUUCAAACAAGCCCACUUGGGAAUUUGGGGGUAAGGCAGGACUUCAGCUUAGGGACAAGCAUUCUUCCCUUGCAGGUAUGUGCAACAGUAAAAAGGCAGCUUGGGAAUGAUGACUGAGCACGAGGCACCCUGGUCACUGUGCUGAGGCCAUGGCAUUUGGAUAGACUAGACCUCAACACUGCUCAAGGGAUAAGUCUACUUGUCUAUUUGUCUAUCCAUCUAUCUAUUCUUGCUCGUUACUAUAAGUAUUUGACAUUGUGUAUAAAAUGCCCACAAUAUAAAAGAAUGAAAUAAAUACACAAGAGAGUUAUUGGUUAAGGAGGUUAUGAGAGGAAAAUAUGGCAAUAAAAAUAAGGGAAAAACUAGCAUACAGACCAUCGAAUGCAGACCAUUAGAUCCGGUACUGUGGCAAUUGAGUGUUUCAAAAUGUGAAUCUGAGUUUCCCAACAGCCAAAACAAAGGAUAAAACACAUGGCUACAAGAAGCAAACUGCCUAUAAUAGAAAGAAAUUUUUUUAAAGAAUGUCAGUUGUAAGCAGAAAAGCAGAACUCAGCUCUUCCUGAUGAUGAUGCUCAAGAGGAAUUUCUUCCAUGGGCCCUCAUGAAGAGGACACAAUGCUCUAGAGGAAAACAUUCUUAGCAAAAUCCCCAUAAUGACAUUUGUUAGACUAUUAAUCUGAGCCUCUCAAUGGCAUAAUGCCAAAGCAUACUACAGGAGAGGCAAAGCGGCCUGCCUGGGAAGCAUGGUGAUGGUAUUUUGAAAAAGGGUAACAUUUACAGUUCCUAGAGCAGAGAGUCUUAACUUUGAGAAGCUAUAUGCCCUUGGAGACUCUUUUGAAAAGUUUAUAACCUGUACAGAUAAACAUGUACAUGCACGAACUACAAAACUUUAUAUGUAGUUUCAGAGGGAGGUUACAGACAACUCACACUCCAGAAGAAGACCAUUUAUGAGGCAUGAGUUAAGAGGCACUGAAAAAUGAGGACUGCCUAAAAAGAUGAUGCCAGGAAGACAAUCGAAAAUGUUGCUGGAUUGACAGAUUUGGCCCCAUAUUUCCUGACACUAUUUUAUGUAUUCCUAACAAAGUUUUCCUUUGAAAAUUCACUUACCUAAAUGGAAUUUCCCUCUGAUACAACAACAGCAAUGAUAAAAUAUAUAUCUGGGAUUUCCAUGGACUAGACAUACUUUUCCUUAUUCCUCCCACAAAGUAACUAAAAAUCCUGCAUGUUAUAUAUAAAACAGAUGUAAGAAAACUCUGAAAAAUGAAGAAAAGAAGGAAACUGGCUAGGGACUUCAGAACCUAAGGAACAACAUGAGGGUAAGUUUCGUGAAUUUCCUUUUUGCUUUGUACACUCCUAUUUGGAACUGAAAAACCAGCAACCCAGAAAUACCAAUAGGUAGGUGAGGAUUAAACAAAAGUCUCCUUUUUCUAGCCAAACAAGUAGGAAAAGAACAACCUAGAAAGACAUAAAACUUUUAGACAAUAACUGCUCUACUUCAGUCAAACGCUACAGAAAAGACAGUAAUCCUACCUCCACUCAUGCCAGCAAAAGUAGAGUAGGGAGCCUAGGCUUACAGUCUUGUUAGGUAUACUGAGGAACCCCAGCUUUUCUGCUGGGGUAGUAGCAGAGAAGAGCAAGUAGGGGGCCUGAACAUCAACUCAGCAUUACCUACCAGGGGAUAGUAAGCCACACUCUGCUGCCCACUUACUGUCAGUAUAGAACACAGAAGGAAUAGUAAUGAGUUGCUCCAACCCCUCCCAACCAGAGACUUAUCAAUGGAGGCCUAGCAGGGAGCAGAACUUCCAUCUCUGUAACAAGAAGCACACUCCUUGGGUGUAGCAACAGAACCCAAGUUGGAAACCUGGACUUUUAUUUGUAGUCGGCAGCAGCAAGAUAGCACAACCCCUUCCCUACCUGGAUGGUAUUAAAGAAAGCUAGCUAAAAUAGGAUUUUUAAACAAAAUUCAUAGUUUCAUAACAUAACCCAAAAUAUCCAGGUUUCAAUAGAAAAUUGCUUGUCAUACCAAGCAUCAGGAACACCUCAAAUUAAAUGAAAAAAGGCAACCAAUAGAUGCCAACAGCAAAUGUGGCAGAGAUGUUACAAUUAUCUGACAAUGAUGUUAAAGCAACCAUCAUAAAAAUACUCAAGCAAUCAUGAGCCCACUGGAAAAGAAAUAUAUAUAGAAUGUCUCAGUAAAGAAAUAGGAGCUAUCAAAGAGAACAAAAUGGAAAUUUCAGAAAUGCAAAAUACAAUAAUUGAAAUAAGCUUAAUAAAUGGGCUCAAAAGAAUGAAAGAGUCCAAGGAAGGAAUUCAUGAAAUGAAAGAUAGAACAAUAGAAAUCAUCCAAUCUUGACCGGGUGCAGUGGCUCAUGCCUGUAAUCACAACAUUUUGGGAGGCCAAGAUGGGCAGAUCACUUGACGUCAGGAGUUCAAAACCAGCCUGGGCAACAUGGUGAAACCCUGUCUCUACUAAAAAUACAAAACUAAAAAUUAGCCAGGCAUGGUGGUGUGCACCUGUAAUCCCAGCUACUUGGGAGGCUGAGGCAGGAGAAUUGUUUAAACCCAGGAGGUAGAGGUUGCAGUGAGCUGAGAUUGCACCACUGCACUCCAGCCUAGGUGACAGAACAAGAUUCUGCCUCACAAAAAAAGAAAAAAAAAAAAAUCACCCAAUCUUAACAACAAAGAAAAAAGUAUACUGGAAGAAAAAAUCUAACAAGCAAACAAAAAACCUAUAGAUACUCAGGAACUUGUGGGACUGUACCAAUAAUCUACAUUUAUGUAGGGAGGAAGAAAGAACGUGGUAAGCAAAAAAAAAAAAAAAAAAAAAAAAAGGUAAAUACAAUAGUCUCAUUUUCUUCUUGAGUUUUCUAAACUAUAUUUGAUUGUUGAAUGAAAAAUUAUACCAUCUGAAGUAGUUCUAAAUGUAGAGAAAAUAUUUAAAUUAUAUUAGAAACAAGGGAGUGUACAAGGAUAUAAAGGGAGAUAAAACUUUUUCAUUUGGACUGAUAAAAUGAUUCAAGUAGACUGAGAAAAGUCUAUUUAACUUAUUACCUAAGGUAACCUCCAAGGAGCCCAUACAUUUAAAAGCACCACAGAUAAAUGAAAAAUGAAUUCCAUAAAAUGUUCAAUUAACACACAAGAAGACAGGAAAAACCAAACAGAGAAAUAUAAACAAGGAACACAAGAAGAAAACAUAGAAAACAAGCAAAAAUGCAGGCUUGAGCCCUAGCAUAUAAAUAAUUAUAUUAAAUGUAAAUGAUCUAAAUAUACCAAUUAAAAGACAGAGACUGGUAAAAUAUAUUAAAACAUGACCCAACUAUAGGCCAUCUAUAAAAUUUACUUCAAAUAUCACUACAUAAAUAAGUAGAAUGUAAAAGGAUGGAAAAAGACAUAUUGUGAAAGCAUUAACCAACAGAAAGAAAGGAUGACUAUAUUAAAAUCCAAUGAAAUAGGAUUCAGAGCAAAGAAAAUUACCGGAGACAGAGUCUGAUAUAUACAAUAAUAAAAGGGUCAAUCCUGCAAGUAGACAUAUCAAUCCUACAUAUGUAUGUACCAACCACAGAGCUGUAAAAUAUGUGAAGCAACAACUUACACAAUUAAAAGUAGAACUAGGUAAACCCACAAUUAUAGUUUGAGACUUCAAUGUUCCUCUUUUAGCAAGUGAUUUAAAAACUAGACAGAAAAUCAGCAAGGAUAUAAAAGAAGUCAACGAUGUCAUCAACCAACAGAAUAUAAUCAACAUGUAUAACAUUCCACCCAACAACAGUAGAAUAUGCAUUCUUUUAAAGUUCUCAUGGAAUAUACACCAAUGUAAAUCAUAUCCUGGGCUAUAAGGCAAACUUUAACAAACUUUAAAUAUUUGGAUUGUAAAGAGUACCUUCUGCUACAAUGGAAUCAAACUAGAAAUCAGUAGUAAAAUUAUAACCAGAAAAUCUCCAAACACUUGGAAACUAAACAGUGCACUUAAAAAAUUUUAUUUUAUUGUGUCUUUUUGUAAUUUUUUUAUUUUUCAUUUUUAUGGGUACAUAGUACAUGUAUAUAUUUGAGGAGUACAUGAGAUAUUUUGAUACAAAUGUGUGAUGCAUAAUAAUAACAUCGUGGAAAAUGGUGUAUCCAUCCUUUCAAGCAUUUAUCUUUUGUUACAAACAAUCCAAUUAUACUUUUAGUUAUUUUAAAAUGUACAGUUAAAUUAUUAUUGACUAUAGUCACCCUACUGAGCUAUCAAAUACUAGGUCUAUUCAUUUGUUCUAUUUUUUUUGUGCCCACUAACCAUUCCUACCUCCCCACCACCCUGAACUCCCCUUCCCAGCCUCUGUUAACCAUCCUUCUGCUCUCUAUCUCUGUAAAUUCAAUUCUUUUGAUUUUGAUUCCACAAAUAAGUGAGAACAUGCAAUGUUUGCCUUUCUAUGCCUAGCUUAUUUUACUUAACAUAAUGACCUCCAGUUCCAUCCAUGUUGUUGCAAAUGAUUGAGUCUUAUUCUUUUUUAUGGCUGAAUAGUACUCCACUGUAUAUACGUACCAGAUUUUCUUUAUCUAUUUAUCUGUUGAUGGACACUUAAGCCACUUCCAAAUCUUAGCUAUUGUGAGCAGUGAUGCAACAAACAUGGAAUUGCAGGUAUCUCUUCAAUAUGCAUAUUUUCUUCCUUUUGCAUACAUACCCAGCACUGGGAUUGCUGCAUUGCAUGGUAGCUUUAUUUCUAACUUUUUAAGCAACCUCCAAACUGUUCUUCAUAGUAGUUAUACUAAUUUACAUUCCCACCAACACCAGCUGUGUACAAGGGGUCUUUUCUCUUCCACAUCCUCACCACCAUUUGUUAUUGCUUGUCUUUUGGAUAUAAGACAUUUUAACUAGGGUGAGAUGUUAUCUCAUUUCUUAUUAUAAUUUUGAUUUGCAUUUCUCUGUUGAUCAGUAAUGUUGAGCCCCUUUUCAUAUGCCUGUUUGCCAUUUGUCUUUUUUGGAGAAAUGUCUAUUCAAAUCUUUUGCCAAUUUUUUUGAUCGAAUUAUUUGAUUUUUUUCCUACGGAGUUGUGUGAGCUCCUUAUAUAUUCUGGCUAUGAAUCCCUUGUCAGAUGGGUACGUUGCAAAUAUUUUCCCUCAUUCUGUAGCUUGUCUCUUCACUUUGUUGACUGUUUCCUUUGCUAUGCAGAAGAUUUUAUUUUAUUUUAUUUUAUUUUAUUUUAUUUUAUUUUAUUUUAUUUUAUUUUAUUUUUGAAAUGGAGUCUCUCUGUGUCACCAGGCUGGAGUACAGUGGUGCCAUCUUGGCUCACCUCAACCUCCGCCUUCUGGGUUCAAGCGAUUCCCCUGCCUCAGCCUCCGAAGUAGCUGCAACAACAGGCACAUACCACCACACCAGGCUAAUUUUUUUUUUUUUUUUUUUUGUAUUUUACUACAGAUGAGGUCUCACCAUGUUGGCCAGGAUGGUCUCGAUCUGCCGACCUCGUGAUCCACCUACUUUGGCCGUCCAAAGUGCUGGGAUUACAGGUGUGAGCCACUGCGCUUGGCCCUGUGCAGAAGCUUUUUGACUUGAUAUAAUCCCAUUUGUCCAUUUUUGCUUUGGUUGCCUGUGUUUAUGGGGUAUUACUCAGGAAAUUGUUGCCCACACUGAUGUCCUGGAGAGUGUCCCCAGUGUUUUCUUGUAGUAGUUGCAUAGUUUGGAGUCUUAGAUUUAAUUGUUUAAUCCAUUUUGAUUUGAUUUUUAUGUAUGGCAAGAGAUAGGAGUCUAGUUUCAUUAUUCUGCAUGUAGAUAUCCAGUUUUCCCAGCACUGUUUAUUGAAGAGCCUUUCUUUUCCCCAGUGUAUGUUCUUGGCACCUUUUUUCAAAAAUGAAUUCACUGUAGGUGUGUGGAUUUAUUUCUGGAUUUUCUAUUCUGUUCCAUUGGUCCAGUACCAUGCUGUUUGGGUUACUAUAGCUCUGUAGUACAAUUUGAAGUCAGGUAACGUGAUUCCUCCAGUUUUCUAAACAAUGCACUUUUAAGUAACCCAUGAGUCAAAGAGGAACUGUCACAUGAAAUUGCAAAAAUAUGUUGAGCUAAAUGAAAACCAAAAUACGAUGUACCAAAACUUUUGGUACAUAACUAAAGCAGUUCUGAGAAGGAAAUUUAUGGCACUAAAUAUAUAUAUUGGGAAUGAGGAAAGCUCUCAAAUCUAUCAUUUAAGCUCCCACCAUAAGAACUUAGAAAAGGAAGAGCAAAAGAAUCCAAAGCAAGCAGAAGAAAAUGAAAUAACAAAGAGUAGAAAUCAAUAAAAACAGAAAAAAAAAGAAAAAUCAAUAAAACAAAGAAAUGAUUCUUUGACAAAAUGAAUAAAAUUGGCAAACCUCUAGCUAGACUGACAAAAAAGAGUGAAGACUCAGUGUCAAUAUCAGGAGUGAAAUAUGGGCUAUCACUAUAGACUCUGUAGACCUCAGAAAAUAAUAUAGAAAUAUUGUGUCCAACUCUACACACAUUAUGUUGAUACUUUAGAUGAAACUGACUGACUCCUGUAAAAACACAAAUUACCACUACUCAUCUAAUAAGAAAUAGGAAAUUUGUAUAUCCUAUACCUAUUAAAUACAUCAAAUUCAUAAUUUAAAAACUCUUAAAAAUAAAAUCUCUAGGCCUAGGUGGUUUUAUUAAAAUAUUCUACCAAAUAUUUAAGAAAGAAUUAACAUAAAUUCUACAAAAUAUUUUCUGGAAAACAGAAGUGAAACAGUGAGGGGGAGUCAUCCCAAUUAAUUUUAUGAAGAUAGUUUUACCCUGAUAGCAAAACCAUACAAAGACAGUACAAGAAAGAGAGAGAGAGAACUAUAGAAUAAUAUCUUUUAGAAAUAUAGACAAAAAAUUCCUAGCAAAAUAUUAGCAUAUAGAGUUCAGCAAUAUAUAAAAAUUAAUGCUACACCAUGGCCAAGUGGGGUUUAUUUCAAGGAUACGAGACUGGUCCAAUACUUUGAACCAGACUUCUAAGCCAGCUAAAAAGGAACUACAUUAUUAGCCAGAUAGAGAAGAAAAAUCAUAUUAUCACAUAACUCAAUACAGAAAAAGAAUUUCAUAGAAUAUUUUAAUAAAACCAUCUGAUAAAAUUUCUCAGAGAAAUAGGAAUAGAAGGAGACUUUCUCAACUUCAUAAUCAGUAUCUACAAAAAUCCACAGGUAACAUUAUAUUAGUGGUGAAAGACUGACAUCUGCAAAUAAGGUCAGUUUUAUUUCUUCCUUUCUAAUCUCUAUGUCUUGUAUUUUCUUACCUUACUGUACUGGCUAGAACAUCUAGCAUUAUGUCAAACAAGAAUGGUGAGAGAAGACAUUUUUAUCUUGUUCCCAAUCUUAGGGGAAAAGACUGACCCUAUUUGCAGAUGACACGACUAUAUACACAGUAAUUCCCAACUCCCUCUUCAAAACAAUGACAGAAAAACUUACAGAAGAUCCUAGAAUACAAGAUAAACACACAUCAAUUAUAUUUCAUAUACUAGCAAUAAACACACGAACAACAAAAUUAAAAAUGCAACACCAUUUACAAUCUCUCAGAAAACAUGAAGCCCUUAAGUGUAAAUCUAGCCCAUCAUGUUGAAGACUUGUAUGCUGAAAACAACAAAAUGCUGAUGAAAGAAAUCAAAGAAGAUCUAAGUAACUAAUAAGGACAUACAAUGUUCAUGGGUCAGAAGACUUCACAAUGUAAGGAUAUUAAUCCUCUGCAAAAUGAUAUACAGGUUUAAUUCAAUUCCUAUCAAAAUCCUAGCAAGAUUUUUAUAGUUGUAGAUAAGAUUAUUCUAAGAUUUAUAAGGAAAGGCAGAAGAGGUAGAAUAGCUAAAACAAUUCUGAGCAUGGGAAGAAAUUAGUCUACUCAAUUUCAAGAAUUUUUAUAUGGCUGUAGUAACUAAGACUUGUGGCAGAAUAGACACAUAAGUAAAUGAAACAGAAUACAGAAUGCAGAAAUAGGCCUACCCAGAUAAAGCCAAUUGAUUUUUGACAAAAGUACAAGAGCAAUUCAAUGGAGGAAUUAUAGCCUUUUCAACAAAUGGUGCUAGAACAAUUGGACUUCCACAGGCAAAAAAUAAUAAUAAAUUGAACAUUAUUAAAGUGAAAAGCUUUUGCUCUGCAAUAUGCCCUGUUAAUACAAUAAAAACAUGGGCUAGUGACUGGACAAGAGUAUUUGCAAACCACAGUUCCAACAAUGGAUAUCUACAUUAUAUGAAAACAUCUCAAACCUCCAUGGUAAAAAAAAAAAAA
rnacentral:lncRNA from 1 species